UACUGUUCAGAAUGUAACAUGAUUAUUUUGAAAUAAAGAUUUUCCCCUAGUUUUUAAAAAAGUUACUUUAUACAUUAACCCUUAUGUUCCUCUUUGAUCAAUUUUUCCAGUAGUGUAAACAGUCUUCAGGGAAGUAGAUUUCUUACAGAAAUUGUCAAGUGGCUCUCUGCUGUUAGCAUGGUUACUAAUCUUUUGGUUACUUUUCAUAUUUUUUAUACUUUCUGGAAGUGGACAACUUACUUGUAAAUAAAAGUGC
rnacentral:lncRNA from 1 species